GACGAACGCUGGCGGCGUGCCUAAUACAUGCAAGUAGAACGCUGAAGGAGGAGCUUGCUCUUCUGGAUGAGUUGCGAACGGGUGAGUAACGCGUAGGUAACCUGCCUGGUAGCGGGGGAUAACUAUUGGAAACGAUAGCUAAUACCGCAUAACGGUAGAUGUUGCAUGACAUUUACUUAAAAGGUGCAAUUGCAUCACUACCAGAUGGACCUGCGUUGUAUUAGCUAGUUGGUGGGGUAACGGCUCACCAAGGCGACGAUACAUAGCCGACCUGAGAGGGUGAUCUGCCACACUGGGACUGGGACACGGCCCAGGCUCCUACGGGAGGCAGCAGUAGGGAAUCUUCGGCAAUGGACGGAAGUCUGACCGAGCAACGCCGCGUGAGUGAAGAAGGUUUUCGGAUCGUAAAGCUCUGUUGUAAGAGAAGAACGAGUGUGAGAGUGGAAAGUUCACACUGUGACGGUAUCUUACCAGAAAGGGACGGCUAACUACGUG
rnacentral:rRNA from 1 species